CAUCCAAAUGUUGUUCUUUGUAUGGGGUGACGUGACCCGCCCUCCCAACCUAUCAAUUGUUUCAACUUUUCUUCUGAGGGGAAGUCUGUACAGAAUUCUUCACUGACCAAAUUGUCAAACUGAGGAGAAGCGAAGAAUCAAAAUGGUUGUUGAUGUGGCCAAGGGCAUGAGACUGCUUUGCACACCAGC